CCAGGCCGCCGCGGGGCGCGCCGAGCAGGAAGCGCCAGCUCUCGCCUGGUGCCCGCGCGCCCCUUCCAUCUCGCCCUCCGGCUGCGCCGCUGAGCUGCUGCCCAGAGUCCGCGAUGCAGCGCCCGGCUGGGUGAAGUGGACCCCCAGCACGAGCGGCAGGGAAGGCCAGGAAGGAAGGGCGCGCAGGAGGGGCAGGCGCGGGAGGCGCAGCUCCGGGCGCAGGCUCCUCUGCACGUCCUGGCCCUGCCGGCUCGGGUCCCCACCCCAGCCUCCGCCGACCGCUGGGGAGCUCAGGCUGCAUCGCGGGGGGUUUCUCUGGGGUGCAAAGGGAGCCCCCCUGGCGGCCCCGCCUGCCCGAGUCCUCCCCUCCUCCUCCCACCCGUUCCUGCCUGGCCCAGUCAGGAGCUGACCACCACGUGUUGGUGCAUUUAUUGGGGCUCAGCUGGGGGGACCUGUGCAGGAUCACACCACCAGCUGAAGGAGCGCGGCCCCAAGUCAGUGCUCCCCGUCCAGGGCGCAGAGCCGCAGGGGGCAGAGGCCCUACAGGGGGCUGCCUACGAAGGGGGGUGGGCGUGUCGAGGCCCCUCCUCCACCGAGUGCCCGUCGGAACCCGCCCAAGGAGGGGGUGGUGAUCCCUGGUGUAGUGCUGAUAAAGACCUCUACCCCUGCCCAAAGAAAGAACAAGAGAUCAGGAUGACACCAGCAAAGUGUUGAUCUUCACCAGAUGGCCACAGUCUUACAUCAACAUCCUGCUUGCGAAUUAAUGAACUGGGUUUCAAGCACACCCUGCCCAAACACUCCACAGUCAUCAUAGUCCAGUAGUUCACAUCAUCCCUGGAACUCAGGUACUAACCAUAAGUCAUGUCUGCCUUAUCCCUCCCCAUUCCUCCAUGCCUUCCCUUUGUUUCAAGGAGGCACAUACGGUGCUCCAUCAGGAGGUUCCUUUAAGCAGAAACCUCUUUUUGUGAUACUUCUUCAUUAAAGCAACUUUAGCUCAAUAUACUUGCUCUGUGCCCCCUUUUGUAAGUCUCUUUAUUUUAUUUUCAGCACAACAGUACUUGGCAUACAGAAGUGGGAUCUGAAGGUGGAUGCUGGGAGGAUGCCUCUGAUGCCUCAGAGAUGAGCAAGGUACCUGCAGGAAUCUUUUCCAUUCUGGCCUUUCCAGGGUCCUUCGCUGGCUCACCUGGUUAACCCCUAUGGAUCUCUGAACUCCUGCCACAUCACAUUUGAGGUCAAAAUCCAUUUGGUGAGCUACAAUCUGAUCAGGACCUCUGUCCCAGCCUCUGUUUUCAACAUUAGGUAAGAGAAUUCUCUUCUUUUGCUGUUUCUGUUCCUUUACUGUUUCUCUAGACUUACUAUGGGAAAC
rnacentral:lncRNA from 1 species